rnacentral:rRNA from 1 species
CCCCAGACUCCUACGGGAGGCAGCAGUGGGGGAUAUUGCACAAUGGGGGAAACCCUGAUGCAGCGACGCCGCGUGGGUGAAGAAGCGCCUCGGCGCGUAAAGCCCUGUCAGCAGGGAAGAAAAUGACGGUACCUGAAGAAGAAGCCCCGGCUAACUACGUGCCAGCAGCCGCGGUAAUACGUAGGGGGCAAGCGUUAUCCGGAUUUACUGGGUGUAAAGGGGGCGCAGACGGCAGCGCAAGCCAGGAGUGAAAGCCCGGGGCCCAACCCCGGGACUGCUCUUGGAACUGCGCGGCUGGAGUGCAGGAGGGGCAGGCGGAAUUCCUGGUGUAGCGGUGAAAUGCGUAGAUAUUAGGAGGAACACCAGUGGCGAAGGCGGCCUGCUGGACGAUGACUGACGUUGAGGCUCGAAAGCGUGGGGAGCAAACAGGAUUAGAUACCCGUGUA